AGUGAACGCUGGCGGUAGGCCUAACACAUGCAAGUCGAACGGCAGCACAGUAAGAGCUUGCUCUUACGGGUGGCGAGUGGCGGACGGGUGAGGAAUACAUCGGAAUCUACUUUUUCGUGGGGGAUAACGUAGGGAAACUUACGCUAAUACCGCAUACGACCUACGGGUGAAAGCAGGGGAUCUUCGGACCUUGCGCGAUUGAAUGAGCCGAUGUCGGAUUAGCUAGUUGGCGGGGUAAAGGCCCACCAAGGCGACGAUCCGUAGCUGGUCUGAGAGGAUGAUCAGCCACACUGGAACUGAGACACGGGCCAGACUCCUACGGGAGGCAGCAGUGGGGAAUAUUGGACAAUGGGCGCAAGCCUGAUCCAGCCAUACCGCGUGGGUGAAGAAGGCCUUCGGGUUGUAAAGCCCUUUUGUUGGGAAAGAAAAGCAGCAGGUUAAUACCCCGCUGUUCUGACGGUACCAAAGAAUAAGCACCGGCUAACUUCGUG
rnacentral:rRNA from 1 species